UACGUAGGGGGCAAGCGUUGUCCGGAAUUAUUGGGCGUAAAGAGCUCGUAGGCGGUUUGUCACGUCGGAUGUGAAAGCCCGGGGCUUAACCCCGGGUCUGCAUUCGAUACGGGCAGACUAGAGUGUGGUAGGGGAGAUCGGAAUUCCUGGUGUAGCGGUGAAAUGCGCAGAUAUCAGGAGGAACACCGGUGGCGAAGGCGGAUCUCUGGGCCAUUACUGACGCUGAGGAGCGAAAGCGUGGGGAGCGAACAGG
rnacentral:rRNA from 1 species